rnacentral:rRNA from 1 species
GACGAACGCUGGCGGCGUGCCUAAUACAUGCAAGUAGAACGCACAGUUUAUACCGUAGCUUGCUACACCAUAGACUGUGAGUUGCGAACGGGUGAGUAACGCGUAGGUAACCUGCCUGGUAGCGGGGGAUAACUAUUGGAAACGAUAGCUAAUACCGCAUAAUAUUAAUUAUUGCAUGAUAAUUAAUUGAAAGGUGCAACUGCACCACUACCAGAUGGACCUGCGUUGUAUUAGCUAGUAGGUGAGGUAACGGCUCACCUAGGCGACGAUACAUAGCCGACCUGAGAGGGUGAUCGGCCACACUGGGACUGAGACACGGCCCAGACUCCUACGGGAGGCAGCAGUAGGGAAUCUUCGGCAAUGGACGAAAGUCUGACCGAGCAACGCCGCGUGAGUGAAGAAGGUUUUCGGAUCGUAAAGCUCUGUUGUAAGAGAAGAACGGGUGUGAGAGUGGAAAGUUCACACUGUGACGGUAUCUUACCAGAAAGGGACGGCUAACUACGUG